AAGUGCUGGGAUUACAGGCGUGAGCCACCGCGCCUGGCCUAUUUCUUUUUUUAUAUUUCUUUUCUUAUAUUGUCUAUAUUUUUAAGGUUUUCUAUAAUGAACACACAUUACUUUUCUACUAGGAGAAAUGAAGUCAAUAACAUAUGGUGUAAAAAAAAGGAGCUGAAAUGCGAUUUGUUUCUCCUGUUCAGGACACCAGCUGAGAGAAUUUUUGGAAGAACUUAGGGAAGAAACUAAGAAAAGACAACAGCACACAGCAACAAGCAGUCACCUGGGUCUCUCAUGUCACUGAGAACAUUAUGGUGGGCACCUGUGAGCUCUUCCUGACUGCCCAAGACUUCUAGGAUGCUUUCCUGACCACCCUGCUCCACCCAGGGCAGAGUUGCCAACUCCUUGAUGCCUCCUGUGUUGCAAUUGCAAUCAGAUGAGGUCCCAGGGCCCCAGGGUGGGCAGCAGCUCACCGUAGCCGUGCUCGUACUCUUGGUGUCGACGCCGGCGGUGGUGAUGGUGGUGGUGGUGGUGGCGGCGGUG
rnacentral:antisense_RNA from 1 species